rnacentral:lncRNA from 1 species
AAGGCCGAGAAAAAAAAGAUCGAUGUUUCCGGUAACCCGACCGACCCUGUUUUUUAGCCCCGACCCUAACUUUUUUAUUGGAUCUUCAAAAAAAAAAAAAAAAAUUGUAUCAACCGACCCCGUUUUUGACACAGGCUUCUGAUAGAUGACAUAAUAUUUUUUCUCUCUUGCUUCUACUUGCAUAGAAAGCCAGUAAAACAUUUUAUUAAUGUCAAAAGGUAUUCCAAAUAGGUUAAAAUCCAAGAAAUUUGCACAGCAGGUGCUUCAAAAAACAUUGCAAAUGGCACACUUCCGGUUUUUGAAACUAAUUACGGAUCCGGACUUGGAAAAACCAUGAUAAUUUUCCGGAUUUCAUUUACGAUGUCAGAAAAAAAAAAAAAAAAAAAAAAGAAUUCCGACCUACCGACCCUAUUUUUCAAAAUGAUGUUACCGGAAACACAUAUCUUUUUUUUUUAGGCC